rnacentral:rRNA from 1 species
GAGUUUGAUCCUGGCUCAGGAUGAACGCUAGCGAUAGGUUUAACACAUGCAAGUCGAGGGGCAGCACGGGAUUAGCUUGCUAAUCUUGGUGGCGACCGGCGUAAGGGUGCGUAACGCGUAUGCAACUUGCCUGUCAGUGGGGAAUAACCCGGAGAAAUCCGGACUAAUGCCGCAUACACUUUAGUUUCCGCAUGGGGACUUUAGGAAAGAUUUAUUGCUGACAGAUAGGCAUGCGUUCCAUUAGAUAGUUGGUGAGGUAACGGCUCACCAAGUCGACGAUGGAUAGGGGAGCUGAGAGGCUUAUCCCCCACACUGGAACUGAGACACGGUCCAGACUCCUACGGGAGGCAGCAGUGAGGAAUAUUGGUCAAUGGGCGAGAGCCUGAACCAGCCAAGUCGCGUGAAGGAAGACGGUCCUAUGGAUUGUAAACUUCUUUAGUAGGUGAGUACAAAGCAGUUAACGUGUAAGCUGUAAAGCAAAUAAACCUAAAGAAUAAA